rnacentral:rRNA from 1 species
GACAGAGGGUGCAAACGUUGUUCGGAAUCACUGGGCGUAAAGGGCGUGUAGGCGGCUAGGUAAGUCGGGCGUGAAAUCCCCAGGCUCAACCUGGGAACUGCACUCGAAACUGUUUAUCUUGAGUGUCGGAGAGGAAAGCGGAAUUCCUGGUGUAGAGGUGAAAUUCGUAGAUAUCAGGAGGAACACCGGUGGCGAAGGCGGGAUCCUGGGCGAGUACUGACGCUGAGGAGCGAAAGCGUGGGGAGCAAACAGG